UGUGAAAUAAAUACUGGAGUUGGG
rnacentral:siRNA from 1 species